CACGUAGGGUGCGAGCGUUGUCCGGAAUUAUUGGGCGUAAAGAGCUCGUAGGCGGUGUGUCGCGUCGGCCGUGAAAACCUGCAGCUUAACUGUGGGCUUGCGGUCGAUACGGGCAUCACUGGAGUUCGGCAGGGGAGACUGGAAUUCCUGGUGUAGCGGUGAAAUGCGUAGAUAUUGGGAGGAACACCAGUGGCGAAGGCGGCUCACUGGACCGGAACUGACGCUGAGGCGCGAAAGCGUGGGGAGCGAACAGG
rnacentral:rRNA from 1 species